AGUGAACGCUGGCGGUAGGCCUAACACAUGCAAGUCGAACGGCAGCACAGUAAGAGCUUGCUCUUACGGGUUGCGAGUGGCGGACGGGUGAGGAAUACAUCGGAAUCUACUUUUUCGUGGGGGAUAACGUAGGGAAACUUACGCUCAUACCGCAUACGACCUACGGGUGAAAGCAGGGGAUCUUCGGACCUUGCGCGAUUGAAUUAGCCGAUGUCGGAUUAGCUAGUUGGCGGGGUAAAGGCCCACCAAGGCGACGAUCCGUAGCUGGUCUGAGAGGAUGAUCAGCCACACUGGAACUGAGACACGGUCAAGACUCCUACGGGAGGCAGCAGUGGGGAAUAUUGGACAAUGGGCGCAAGCCUGAUCCAGCCAUACCGCGUGGGUGAAGAAGGCCGUCGGGUUGUAAAGCCCUUUUGUUGGGAAAGAAAAGCAGCAGGUUAAUACCACGCUGUUCUGACGGUACCCAAAGAAUAAGCACCGGCUAACUUCGUG
rnacentral:rRNA from 1 species